GGGAGUAUGUCUUAGUGGUAGAGUGCUUGCCUAGCAUGCAUGAAGCCCUGGGUUCGAUUCCUCAGUACCA
rnacentral:tRNA from 1 species